GGCGGUCAAAGCGGCACGGCUGACCAUGUUCCCAAACGUGGCUGGACGCGUGCCUUCUCCUUCCUCUCUCUCUAUUUUUCCGCCGAUCCUCACCAACUCUCUACCGAUCGCCACCGAAAUCUCGCUGGUUGAUUUCCUCCCUACCCGAUCUCUUCAAGUGCUUGGCCGGCUGUCCCCGCUCGCUGCUCCGCCGAGGCGGCGCGCUAUAGAAGCAAGUGGAGCGGCUGUGUUCGGAGAGGAGGCGGCGGAUUCAAGUCGAGCAUGCUCAAGAUCGGCAGCUGAUGGAGAUGUUAUGCCAUGAGGAUAGAGGAGAGCGACAUGGAGAGGUGCUUGCCAGCACGAAUUUCCCCCGAUUCCCGCCAGGUUGGGGAAGUCGUAGAGGGACAUGGAGCGGAGGAAGCCACCAUUCUUCUUUGAUGUGUUCGUCACCUACGGAUGGACGGAGGUUCCAAUUUGGCCCGCCGCCAGCGCGACGGGACGCUGCCUAGCGGGCGAUGAAAUCAUUGCAGAGAAGGCCGUUUGCCCCCUUGUUUACCCGCACCACCUCUGGCCGCCGACGUGCUACUCCGAACUAUGGCUAGGCAGCGUGGAUUUUUUCUUGUGGUAAUUGUGUUAUUUUGUGUUCUGAUUUUUCUUUUGAAAAUUCUUCUUCUUGUGCUUCUUUGUGUCCUCUCUAUCCAUGGCGGCCGGGGAUGGACGGUUGGUGGAGGCGUACAGCCCUUCCCUUCGAUUCUGAUGUGGAUUCACCAGAUUAUGUGUCUACCAAUCCAGCAACACCAUUUUCCAAGGCCGGGAUAGAGUUUUGAGAUCUCUAGAAUUUUUCCUGCUGGUUACUUCGGAGGCCGCCGCGCUGAUCUGGGCACAUGGUAUAUGUGCGUAGGAGUGAUGGGGUUGUUCUUGAUCUACGCCUGGUGGGAGGUGGACUUGAAAGACACCGCCUCGAUCUAUCUGGGCUAGAGUCAACUCAUGUCCAUGUCGCUGAUUCACCCAACAUCUAUCGCGAGCCCCUCCUCCAGGAUUAGAAACCAUGGUGUUGCACAGGCGGCUAGCGCCGCUGUUGUCACCAGAUUAAUUAAGCUAAUGCAGUUCACCAUAAUGUACCAGCUUAUUAGUCGAUUCCCCUGGUGAAAUUCCUGACAGGAGUUUAUAAUGAGCCAUCUGCAAUAUGUUGUUUCAAGGGAUGCGUUUCGGAGGUGGAGCGAAGUUGCCCAUGGGCCUCAAAUUCUAUGCAAAUGGUGAUACCAGGUCACGUAUCAAGUCUCGUGGUAAACUUCCUUUUGCAAAGUUCUUGUGCGUGUUGUGCACAUUUGUGAGUACAGGGACCAAGAAGCGAAGCAACACCUAUAUGAAUUAGAUUUCAUUGUUGUUGACCACGAGGUACUUUGUUCAUGGUUUAGACAGCUAAUCUAUUUAGUUGCACUUAUGAAUGGACUUACAGUUAACCCACCUUAUACCAUAUUACUCUCAGUUUAAGACAUGAGAACAAUAUAUGGCUAUCUAUUCUCUGAAAAAUAUAUUUUUAUACACAUUUGCUACUUCCUAGCUUUACAGUAUGUACUGUGUAUUCAAUACUAUUGACAUACCGAUUCUUUCAUAAAUUUCCAUUUUUGUUCCCAAAUUACUAUGACCGCCGGAUGUAUUAUUUGUUUCACCUUCUUAGAGUAUAUAAGCCAUCUAUUUGACAUGGAGGAGCAGAGACUGAUCUUGCUGAUAUAGGAGAAUAUAAAGUGAAGAGUUUGUGAAUUGUCCGGUUUCUUUGAAACAACAUUCUUUGGACAUCAAUUAGUAUAAGUGAGGCAUUUCACAAAAUGGAUUCAGUGCUUUUCAGUUGGGAUAUACACCACCAGUUCAUCCCCUGCCCUGAGUCAUCACACACACGUGAACACCCGCUAGACCAACAUUCUGUACCACCUCCCUGAAAUUCUUAAGUUGUAGAUUCCUUUCCAAAUAGUUAAAGCCAAUAUAGAUCUGAAAAGCAGUAGUUUUGUCUUUUCAUUUGAAGGCUACAUUUGAUUUGAGUUUGUUUUGUUCAUGGCCACAAGUAUGCACAGCGAUAAGAAACAAAGCUAUUUGUGUAUCUGCAAUGUAAUAAAAUUGUUAGGUGGUUAGGCCUUUCUUGGAUUGAUAGUACAUGGAUGUAGUGAAGGUAUUUUGUGUAUCGAUCAGCAAUGUAAUUGGCUGGUUAGACCUUUUUUGAAUUAACAAUACAUAGCUGUUACCUUUCAUACUUGAUUGCAUAGAUCAGAUGGUGUAGGGAGUGGGAAGAAUAUUGUUACGUUUGGUAUCUUAUUUGGGUUUGAGAAUUUGUCCUUACAAUAGAAAUGUAGAGUUAGAUCAUUUCUUUGUCAUUUUACAUGACAAUGCUGUUAAUAGUCUCAAACAUAGGAAAUAUAUUGCAUUAUGAUGUACAUUGAUGACGAAGUACCAUAUAACAAUCUGGUUCUAUUUCAUUCAGAACUUUUAACAACCUGGUUCUGUUUCAUUCAAAAUUUCACACAUACACAUAGCUUCAGGAUCCUACAUACAACCAUUACAAACCAGCAACUUUACAUCCCAGCAGCACUGGCAGCUAGCUAACAACCGAAGGACCAAACAUAACCUGAGAACUACUAGCAGCACUAGCUUUACUGCAUGGCCUUGAUCAUUUUUUUGCCAGGGUACAUAGCAACAGAGACAUCAGCUGCAAACAUGUGCUGCACAAGAUGCAGAGGAAAAGCUUCUUCUCCUUCAACUUGCUGAGCUCCAUCGUCAGCGCAAAAGCUUCUAUCCGUUUGUCACCUGGGAGGAAAUGAGGACGUGUUCUGGCAGCCUAACACAGGCUUCAACCCAAAUGAAUAAAAGAUGGCUCUGUGGAAGCCCCAAUUUUUUUUACAGGCCAAGUAUUAGAAGGUUGAACGGCCGGAGGCUGUGUAAGGCGUGCUUUCCCAAUUUUCUGGAGUUAACACAUGGGUUAAAGUACUUUAUAUACAUAUGUAUGACCAUAUAUACCGAAACAUUUCGGCCGAAACCUCAGUUUACCAAGGAAUUAAGUUUCUUUUAUCUCUACUGUAACUUGAACUGCAGGGAAUACACACUCACCAAUUGACCCAAGAGGUGGAUGACUGAAUUAUCCACGCAUAAUUUUACUGGUGAUUGCUUUGCA